GACGAACGCUGGCGGCGUGCUUAACACAUGCAAGUCGAGCGGUAAGGCCCUUCGGGGGUACACGAGCGGCGAACGGGUGAGUACACGUGGGUGACCUGCCCUCAGCUCUGGGAUAAAGCCGUGGAAACCGGGUCUAAUACCGGAUAUGACUCCAUGACGCAUGUUGUGGGGUGGAAAGCCUUGUGCGGCUGAGGAUGGGCCCGCGGCCUAUCAGCUUGUUGGUGGGGUGAUGGCCUACCAAGGCGACGAC
rnacentral:rRNA from 1 species